rnacentral:rRNA from 1 species
UACGUAGGGUGCAAGCGUUAAUCGGAAUUACUGGGCGUAAAGCGUGCGCAGGCGGUUUUGUAAGUCUGAUGUGAAAUCCCCGGGCUCAACCUGGGAAUUGCAUUGGAGACUGCAAGGCUAGAAUCUGGCAGAGGGGGGUAGAAUUCCGAGUGUAGCAGUGAAAUGCGUAGAGAUGUGGAGGAACACCGAUGGCGAAGGCAGCCCCCUGGGUCAAGAUUGACGCUCAUGCACGAAAGCGUGGGGAGCAAACAGG